UUGGGCAUGCCCACGUCUCCAGUGAACCUUGACCUCUGCUUUCCUGCCUUGUCUUCCUUUGAAACCCCACCUGCCAAGACUCAGGUGGGGUUCAUAAACACAGCGUUUGCAGAAUGAGCAGGGGUGAGGCUGAGCAGCUUGUGGAGCAGCCCAGAGAUCCAAUGAGGGGACUUCUGGAUUUGCCAGGGAGCAAAGAGAGACCUUGGUCUUGUUUCUUCACCCACAGAGCUUCACACUACCACACCUUGGUGUUUUGAGGAAUUGUGACUUAGACAGGCUGCCAAGCCCGCAGGCAUCAGAAGUGGUGUGAGCUGCUGCUGGAAUCACGCAGGCUCACAGGCAGGGGAGGAGUCAUGGGUUCAUGCAGCAGGGAUGCCCAUCUGCUAUUUCUAGGUAGGAAAAGUGAGUCACUAGAUUCAUGGUUUCCUGCCUGGCCUGCCCCAGGCUGUGCACACCUCUUGUUGGCUGUUUCAGUAGAUCUGAUCUAACUGGUCCCUUGUCACCUUGCCUAUGGUAAUUGAGGGAGUGGGGCCCUUUUCCACAGCGGCCUGUCUCUACCUGUGCCUGUCUAACUACAUGGAGGAGAAGGUCUGGAGGUCUAUGGAGAAAAUGUCUUUAUUAUGGGCUGCCCUGACUUGGUGACACAUGGUAGCUGUCUGGGACUCCUUCCUUCUGACCCCAUAUCAGAGAAGCCCAAGCCCCUCCCCCAUCAUUGAGUAUUCGGAAGGCAGGAGGCAGAUCAUGCUUGGGAAAGGUGAUAACUGGUCAAUUAAUAUUGUCCUUAUGCCACCACCAUCACCCCACUUCGGGAGGGGCUUCCCGCCACCCCCCAUACAGGUUUGGACUUGAUCCGACAGGAGCACUGAAGAAUGAAGAACAGACGGCCAGUAGCCCUGAAACUCAAUGUGUUCACUGUCUGCAGCAUCGAUGAAGACACGGGCCAGCUGAUCCCGGUAAGUGGUCUCUGCAGGAGAGCAGUUUCAGGCCGCAGUCAUCUGGGAUGAGGAAGCUGUGGUUGGUACUUUCUGAACACGCGGGUUUGAGCUGAAAGUCAACUCUGUCAACAUCCAUCCUCAGACCAGGGGAAGACCUUGCCAUUCCCGUGGGUCGGAGGCACUGGUGCCUUCCACACAGCCGUGCUCUCGCAGGACUACGUCAACACGACCUCCCAUCAUCUUUCAGGAAUAGAGUUUGUUUUACCCCCGAAGUGCACUGCCUGUGUGGAGCGGGAGCGGAGCCGAGAGCACACCUUCCUGAUCAGGCCUCCUUGGCAUAGGCAGGCUAGUGCUGAAGUGACUAACAGACCAAGACAGGUGAGUUCUCUGUCUACUCUUGGCCUAAACCGGCACUUGAGGACACAGCAGAGGAAGCUGCCCAGCCCCCCUUCCAUUAGGAAGGACAAAGGUUGACACUGAGGACAACUUUGGACCCUACAGGGCCUAGAGUGGCAGCAGAGGAAUCAACAUUAACGAGCUGUUCCAGCUUGCUUUAUUUGCCGUGAACUUACUUGCCACCCCGAGAGAUAAAAGAAGCAGUAGCCUUGCCGGGCUGCUCUUCUGCAUGUUCACUGUUUUUCACCCAUGAUGCAACGUGGGCUGCCAUGGAAAGCCAGCUCUCGGAGAACUUCUCACCCCCGGGGAAGCCGCCCAUGCCUACGAGGCUGCCAUGGCCUUCGGUGACGGGGUCUCUCUCACCAGCAACUGACAAAGCUUGUGGAAUCUAUUGCUAUUUUUCUCCUCAUACAGUUGUGAGCUAGAAAGAGGUUUCUGUCCCUAUCCAAGGACAGAGCAGGUGGCCAGCUAGACUUCUACUCCAGCUCUGGAUUUCUUCUGGGCCUAGAACCCAGCACUCAGGGUCAAGUCAGGAAGCUGGAAUCUAUGUCCUCUGUGACACAAAGCCCUCUGUGUCCUCGCUGGAUGGCCAUACCUAGAGCCCUGACACCAGCGUCUCUGAGGUAGAGGAGUCUCUGCUACACCCACCCGGAACCAGCUUUAACAGAUCGAUCAUGGUCAGUGCUGCUGCGGGACAGACUUGACUUGCAUCGCUGGACACUUCUCAUGGGGAGUAAGGAGGCGAGUGUCACCCUGUGGCUCGGUUUCAGUAACAGCCAGCUGUCUGGAAAGAAAGGGCUCUGAAGCGUACAUCUGCUGGCUCUCAUGGAAUGAACACUUUCACCAGAGCCAAUUUUGAGCUAUCCACGUGUCAGUGGGUUGGGAAGAGAUGCACAGUAGCCGAGGGUUAUAUAGCAGUCCCCAGACACAGGUAGACUAUGCAAAUAAUCUGGGCAGCAUCAGCAAUAAGAAAUCAUACUCAGUAAGGAAGAGAUAUGCUGCGGGAGCUCCUUCUGCUCCUUCAGCCAAUAGUCGCUGAGAUACCAGCCCAUUGGGGCGUGGUCUCCCCCUAUUUUUCAGAGAUAUGCCUUAUCUGUUUAUUACUAUUCUUUUUAGCGGAACUCAUUCAAUUUGUAAGUUUGUAUCAUUUAACUUGUAAUAAGGGCUAUGUGAUCAACCAGCGUACAGGCUUCCUGAGCCAUUAGCACCGGGUCCUCUGGAGCCUGUCUGGGUCAUUUCCAGCACAACAGCUGGGCCCUUUCUCAGUCCCAUCAUUCCUAGAGUUCAGCAGCCCUUCAUUCACGGAUUUCAGGAUUUCAGGAUUCCUGCCAGAGAGCGGACGUGACUACCGCUCCUUUUGAUAAGUUUGAUGGCUAAGUUUCAGUCCUUAUUCUUUCUACUUGGCUUCCCAGGGGACAGGGCUGUUCCCUCCCCCACUCUGCAACUCUAUUGUUUUGUUUUGUCUUUGCCAGUUAUUCAAAACUCUCAAAGACUCCUGUUCAGCUGUUGGCUCUCUUGCCUGUGGAAUUUCUCAGGACACAGCCAUGGUUCCUUUUGGUUUUCUGCUCUCCUCCCUCUAAAGGACAGUGUGUCAUAAAUCCACAUUUCCAGGGCUGAUCUCACCUUUGAACUCCAGCUGUGCACACACAGCUUCCCCUCCCUCCCAUCUCAUUCUUCAUCACUGAUGGGGACAUCAGCGCUCAUGCUGACUGCAGCCCGAGAAUGCUCAGCAUCGACAUGCCAACAACCACGGCUCAGAAGCUGGAGACUCACCCGGGAAGCUCACUGAGGGCAAAUGAUGUCACUAUCUGCCUGGCGACACCGGCUGGAAUCCUUGAGUCAUCCCUGGUGCACGCCUCUCCCAUUCAUCGAUGACCACUUAGUCAAUAAAUCUGAUCUGUUCUGCACCUCAA